rnacentral:SRP_RNA from 2 species
GCCAGGCGUGGUGGCGUGCGCCUGUAGUCCCAGCUACUUGGGAGGCUGAGGCAGGAGAAUUGCUUGAACCCGGGAGGCAGAGGUUGCAGUGAGCUAAGAUCAUGCCACUGCACUCCAUCCUGGGCGACAGAGUGAGACUCUGUCUCAA